rnacentral:rRNA from 1 species
AACGAACGCUGGCGGCAUGCCUAACACAUGCAAGUCGAACGAGACCUUCGGGUCUAGUGGCGCACGGGUGCGUAACGCGUGGGAAUCUGCCCUUGGGUUCGGAAUAACAGUGAGGAAUUACUGCUAAUACCGGAUGAUGACGAAAGUCCAAAGAUUUAUCGCCCAAGGAUGAGCCCGCGUGGGAUUAGCUAGUUGGAAGG